GUGCUGUGAAGUCAGACCGGAAGGACUGGUGGAGCGCUUAGAAGUGAGAAUGCCGGUAUGAGUAGCGAAAGACGGGUGAGAAUCCCGUCCACCGAAUGCCUAAGGUUUCCUGAGGAAGGCUCGUCCGCUCAGGGUUAGUCGGGACCUAAGCCGAGGCCGAAAGGCGUAGGCGAUGGACAACAGGUUGAUAUUCCUGUACCACCUCCUCACCAUUUGAGCAAUGGGGGGACGCAGGAGGAUAGGGUAAGCGCGGUAUUGGAUAUCCGCGUCCAAGCAGUUAGGCUGGGAAAUAGGCAAAUCCGUUUCCCGUGAAGGCUGAGCUGUGAUGGCGAGCGAAAUUUAGUAGCGAAGUUCCUGAUUCCACACUGCCAAGAAAAGCCUCUAGCGAGGUGAGAGGUGCCCGUACCGCAAACCGACACAGGUAGGCGAGGAGAGAAUCCUAAGGUGAUCGAGAGAACUCUCGUUAAGGAACUCGGCAAAAUGACCCCGUAACUUCGGGAGAAGGGGUGCUUCUUAGGGUGUUAAAGCCCCGAGAAGCCGCAGUGAAUAGGCCCAGGCGACUGUUUAGCAAAAACACAGGUCUCUGCGAAGCCGUAAGGCGAAGUAUAGGGGCUGACGCCUGCCCGGUGCUGGAAGGUUAAGAGGAGCGCUUAGCGUAAGCGAAGGUGCGAAUUGAAGCCCCAGUAAACGGCGGCCGUAACUAUAACGGUCCUAAGGUAGCGAAAUUCCUUGUCGGGUAAGUUCCGACCCGCACGAAAGGCGCAACGAUCUGGGCACUGUCUCAACGAGAGACUCGGUGAAAUUAUAGUACCUGUGAAGAUGCAGGUUACCCGCGACAGGACGGAAAGACCCCGUGGAGCUUUACUGCAGCCUGAUAUUGAAUGUUGGUACAGCUUGUACAGGAUAGGUAGGAGCCUUGGAAACCGGAGCGCUAGCUUCGGUGGAGGCAUCGGUGGGAUACUACCCUGGCUGUAUUGACCUUCUAACCCGCUGCCCUUAUCGGGCAGGGAGACAGUGUCAGGUGGGCAGUUUGACUGGGGCGGUCGCCUCCUAAAAUGUAACGGAGGCGCCCAAAGGUUCCCUCAGAAUGGUUGGAAAUCAUUCGCAGAGUGUAAAGGCACAAGGGAGCUUGACUGCGAGACCUACAAGUCGAGCAGGGACGAAAGUCGGGCUUAGUGAUCCGGUGGUUCCGCAUGGAAGGGCCAUCGCUCAACGGAUAAAAGCUACCCCGGGGAUAACAGGCUUAUCUCCCCCAAGAGUCCACAUCGACGGGGAGGUUUGGCACCUCGAUGUCGGCUCAUCGCAUCCUGGGGCUGUAGUCGGUCCCAAGGGUUGGGCUGUUCGCCCAUUAAAGCGGUACGCGAGCUGGGUUCAGAACGUCGUGAGACAGUUCGGUCCCUAUCCGUCGCGGGCGCAGGAAAUUUGAGAGGAGCUGUCCUUAGUACGAGAGGACCGGGAUGGACGCACCGCUGGUGUACCAGUUGUUCUGCCAAGGGCAUCGCUGGGUAGCUAUGUGCGGACGGGAUAAGUGCUGAAAGCAUCUAAGCAUGAAGCCCCCCUCAAGAUGAGAUUUCCCAUUCCGCAAGGAAGUAAGAUCCCUGAAAGAUGAUCAGGUUGAUAGGUCUGAGGUGGAAGCGUGGUGACACGUGGAGCUGACAGAUACUAAUAGAUCGAGGACUUAACCUAUA
rnacentral:rRNA from 1 species